rnacentral:rRNA from 1 species
AAUAGAUACCCCGGGUAGUCCACGCCGUAAACGAGUGCCGACUCGGUAUCCGUGGGGCGAAUAGCCUCGGGGGGUGCCCCAGCUCACGCGGUAAGUCGGCCGCCUGGGGGAGUACGGCCGCAAGGUUAAAACUCAAAGAAAUUGACGGGGGACCCGCACAAGCGGUGGAGCAUGUGGUUUAAUUCGACGCAACGCGAAGAACCUUACCUAGGCUUGACAUGCAUGGGAAAGCCCUGAGAAACCAGGGCCCCUCUUCGGAGUCCAUGCACAGGUGCUGCAUGGCUGUCGUCAGCUCGUGUCGUGAGAUGUUGGGUUAAGUCCCGCAACGAGCGCAACCCUCGUCUUUAGUUGCUACCAUUUAGUUGGGCACUCUAAAGAAACUGCCGGUGAUAAGCCGGAGGAAGGUGGGGAUGACGUCAAGUCCUCAUGGCCCUUACGCGCUGGGCUACACACGUGCUACAAUGGCGGUGACAGAGGGCUGCAAACCCGCGAGGGUGAGCUAAUCUCCAAAAGCCGUCUCAGUUCGGAUUGUUCUCUGCAA